CCUAGAUAUUUUAAAUACAAAAAAUAUUCGCCAGAGAAUUACGAGCUAAACAUGCUUAAAACUCUAAGGACUUGGCGGUACCUCAAACCCACCUAGAGGAGCCUGUUCUAUAAUCGACAAUCCACGAUCCACCUCACCAUCUCUUGCCAACUCCGCCUAUAUACCGCCGUCACAGCUUACCUUAUGAAAGACAAAAAGUUAGCAAAAUAAUCUAAAUAAUUAACAAAUCAGGUCAAGGUGUAGCUUACUGAGAUGGAAGAAAUGGGCUACAUUUUCUAUACUAGAAAUAACUACGGAAAGAUACCUUGAAAUAGGUUCUAUAAGCAGGAUUUAGCAGUAAACUGGGAAAAGA
rnacentral:rRNA from 1 species